GGUUCGAUCCUUCAGAUUGAACGUCUGGCGGGAUGCUUUUACACAUGCAAGUCGAACGGCAAUGACUUCGGUCUGGUGGCGAGUGGCGAACGGGUGAGUACGUAAUGGAACGUGCCUAGUAGCGGGGAUAACUUUACGCGAAAGCGUAGCUAAUACCGCAUACGCCCUUCGGGGAAAGCGGGGACCUUUCUCACCUCGCACUAUUAGGAGCGGCCGAUAUCGGAUUAGCUAGUUGGUGGGGUAACGGCUCACCAAGACGAUCCGUAGCUGGUUUGAGAGGACGACCAGCCACACCGGGACUGAGACACGGCCCAGACUCCUACGGGAGCAGCAGUGGGAAUUUUGUAUAGAUAAUGGGGAAACCCUGAUCCAGCCAUCCUGCCGUGUGCGAUGAAGGUCAUUGUAAAGCACUUUUUGGCAGGAAAGAAACGGCACGGGAUAAUACCCCGUGCAACUGACGGUACCUGCAGAAUAAGCACCGGCUAACUACGUGCCAGCAGCUAUGGCAUGCGUAGGCAAGCGUUAAUCGGAAUUACUGGGCGUAAAGCGCAGCAGGCGGUCUGAAGAAAGAUGAAUCCCAGAGCUUAACUUUGGAACUGUAUUUUUAACUACCGAGCGUAGAGGUGUCAGAGGGAGGUGGAAUUCCGCGGUAGUGAGCGAAAUGCGUAGAUAUGGAGGAACACCGAUGGCGAAGGCAGCCUCCUGGGAUAACACUGACGCUCAUGCACGAGCGUGGGAGCAAACAGAUUAGAUACUCCUGGUAUCCACGCUCCUAAACGAUGUCAACUAUUGUUGGGGCUUCUCCUGGGCCUUUGGUAGCGCAGCUAACGGGUACAGUUGACCGUCGGGGAGUACGGUCGCAAGAUUAAAACUCAAAGCUAGAAUUGAUUUGGACCCGCACAAGGGUGGAUGAUGUGGAUUAAUUCACUGCAACGCGAAAAACCAUCAAUUCCUGACAUGUCUGAAUCCCGAAGAGGAUUUUGGGAGUGGUUUGCAGAGAACCGGAACACAGGUGCUGGCAUGGUUUGUCGUCAGCUCGUGUCGUGAGAUGUUGGGUUAAGUCCCGGCAACGAGCGCAACCCUUGUCAUUAGUUGCUACGAAAGGGCACUCUAUCGAGACUGCCGGUGACAAACCGGAGGAAGGUAGAUGACGUCAAGUCCUCAUGGCCCUUAUGGGUAGGGCUUCACACGUCAUACAAUGGUCGGGACAGAGGGUCGCCAACCCGCGAGGGGGAGCCAAUCCCAGAAACCCGAUCGUAGUCCGAUCGGUAGUCUGCAAAAUCCAUCCAGCAGUCGGAAUCGCUAGUAAUCGCGGAUCAGCAUGUCGCGGUGAAUACGUUCCCGGGUCUUAAAGACACCUCGCCCGUCACACCAUGGAGUGGGUUUUACCAGAAGUAGUUAGCCUAACCGUAAGGAGGGCGAUUACCACGGUAGGAUCUACGACUGGGUGAAGUCGUAACAAGGU
rnacentral:rRNA from 1 species